UACGUAGGGUGCAAGCGUUAUCCGGAAUUAUUGGGCGUAAAGAGCUCGUAGGCGGUUUGUCGCGUCUGCUGUGAAAACUGGAGGCUCAACCUCCAGCCUGCAGUGGGUACGGGCAGACUAGAGUGCGGUAGGGGAGAUUGGAAUUCCUGGCGUAGCGGUGGAAUGCGCAGAUAUCAGGAGGAACACCGGUGGCGAAGGCGCUGCUCUGGGCCGGUACUGACGCUGAGGAGCGAAAGCGUGGGUAGCAAACAGG
rnacentral:rRNA from 1 species